UUGUAUGUGUGUUUGUGUGCGUGUGUGCAGUUGUACAGAAAAAACAGGAAUGCCCCAAAUUUACACAAGAUGCAAAUAUGGAUGAAUGUCUGAUUUUCAUGAUGUAAACUGGUAAAAUAUGUGAGGAGAAAGGAGAGGUUGGUAAAUGAAAUUGAACCUGACUUUUUGAUUGAAAAAUGCUGUAUUUCCCUCAUUUCCCUGCUGUUCCUUUCUCAGGCAGCAGCUCAGAUUUGACAGCCACAAUUAUGAAAUCGGCAUACCAAAGGCAAUCUUUUUGUUUCAAAGAGUUUUCUGAUAAAAUGGUUCUUCAAAAUGGGCUUGGAUUUAACUCUCCAUAUCUACCUCUUGCCUCCUGUAUUUUGGAAGGUUUGAAAACCACUGCCAGGAUAAUUCCUUUCAGAAAUAUUUCUUUCCUGGAGAUUGGAGGUGAAACCCUGGCCCCACUGACACCAGUGACAAAGUAAUUGGUGGCUUCAAAGGAUCCAAAAUAUUGUAAGUAUCAUCUCGAUCAACAUCAAGAUUUCAAAAAUUAAAACCAUUUAA
rnacentral:lncRNA from 1 species